rnacentral:rRNA from 1 species
GUCUACGGCCAUGCCACCCUGAUCUCGGAAGCUAAGCAGGAUUGGCCUAGUUAGUACUUGGAUGGGAGACCACCUAGGAAGACCAGGUGCUGUAGGCA